rnacentral:pre_miRNA from 1 species
AGUGGGAUAACUGGGUCAAAUGGUGGUUCCAUUCCAAGUUUUCUGAGGAAUAUCCAUACUGCUUUCCAGAGUGGUUGCACCAAUUUGCAGUCCCACUAGCAAU